UACGUAGGGGGCAAGCGUUGUCCGGAUUUAUUGGGCGUAAAGGGCGCGUAGGCGGUGCGGUAAGUCACCUGUGAAAUCUCCUGGCUCAACUGGGAGCUUGCAGGCGAAACUGCCGUGCUGGAGUGUGGGAGAGGUGCGUGGAAUUCCUGGUGUAGCGGUGAAAUGCGUAGAUAUCAGGAGGAACACCUGUGGCGAAAGCGGCGCACUGGACCACAACUGACGCUGAGGCGCGAAAGCUAGGGGGAGCAAACAGG
rnacentral:rRNA from 1 species